rnacentral:rRNA from 1 species
GACGAACGCUGGCGGCGUGCUUAACACAUGCAAGUCGAACGGUAAGGCCCUUCUUUUGUGGGGUGCUUGAGUGGCGAACGGGUGAGUAACACGUGAGUAACCUGCCCUUGACUUUGGGAUAACUUCAGGAAACUGGGGCUAAUACCGGAUAGGCGCUCCUGCUGCAUGGUGGGGGUUGGAAAGUUUGGGCGGUUGGGGAUGGACUCGCGGCUUAUCAGCUUGUUGGUGGGGUAGUGGCUUACCAAGGCUUUGACGGGUAGCCGGCCUGAGAGGGUGACCGGCCACAAUGGGACUGAGAGACGGCCCAGACUCCUACGGGAGGCAGCAGUGGGGAAUAUUGCACAAUGGGCGGAAGCCUGAUGCAGCAACGCCGCGUGCGGGAUGACGGCCUUCGGGUUGUAAACCGCUUUCGCCUGUGACGAAGCGUGAGUGACGGUAAUGGGUAAAGAAGCACCGGCUAACUACGUG